CAGCUUUGCGCCUGCGCAUGCUGAAAAGCUAAGCGUAAGACAGCUGUGGGUGGUCAUCAAAGUACAGCAUGAGCGUGGAGGGCUGUGACAGUACGCCCGCAUCUGAUGUUUCCAGAUUCUUGUAUAAAAGAAAGAAGCAUUAGAAGAUGGAUAGAUCUGACAUUACAAUGACGGGAGCAGCAUCGCAGGUCCAAAAGCAGCUAUGAUCCAGGUCCAACAGCAGCUAGCAGCAAAGUUUUGUAACUGCUGGUACAUUUUGUUGCAGCCUCAUAACAAGCUUCUGUUCAUCAUGGUACAUGAAAUGUAAUAAACAUUUU